GCCUUCCUCCUCCAGGGUGGUGGACAAUGAGAGGGCACCAUGUUCAUUGGGGUAUGGCAUGAAUGGUUGGUCUUCGGGUUCAGGUUCUGGCAUACCCAUCAAUGGCUGGGCCAAAGUAAUCCCCUCAGCUGCUCCCUCAUUCUCUUCGGAUCUGUUGCUGCUGUGGGGUU